rnacentral:rRNA from 1 species
CCUGGACUAGAACGAACGCUGGCGGCGCGUUUAAGCAUGCAAGUCGAAGGGUAAAUUUAGCAAUAAGAUUGAGACUGGCGAACGGGUGAGUAACACGUGAAAAUCUGCUGAGAUGGGGGAUAGCUGGUAGAAAUAUCAGGUAAUACCGCAUAUGCCGAGAGGUGAAAGGUGCAAUUGCACCGUCUUGAGAUGAGUUUGCGUCUGAUUAGUUAGUUGGUGAGGUAAUGGCCCACCAAGACAUCGAUCAGUAGCCGGCCUGAGAGGGUGAUCGGCCACAUUGGGACUGAGACACGGCCCAGACUCCUACGGGAGGCAGCAGCUAAGAAUAUUCCGCAAUGGGAGCAAUCCUGACGGAGCGACGCCGCGUGAAAACGAUUGAAGGCGGAAACGUUGUAAAGUUCUUUUAUUAGGGAAGAAUAAGGUAAUGAGUGGAAAGCAUUAUCGAUGACGGUACCUAAUGAAUAAGCCACGGCUAACUACGUGCCAGCAGCCGC